UACGCGGGGGGCGAGCGUUGUUCGGAAUUAUUGGGCGUAAAGGGUGCGUAGGCGGUUUGGUAAGUCUUGUGUGAAAUCUCCAGGCUCAACUUGGAGUCUGCACGAGAAACUGCCGGGCUUGAGUGUGGGAGAGGUGAGUGGAAUUCCUGGUGUAGCGGUGAAAUGCGUAGAUAUCAGGAGGAACACCUGUGGCGAAAGCGGCUCACUGGACCACAACUGACGCUGAUGCACGAAAGCUAGGGGAGCAAACAGG
rnacentral:rRNA from 1 species